GUUAGUGCGAGUGUUUUUUUUGUAUAUUUGACUUUUAGUGUAGUGAGUGAGUGACUUGUGCCAGAAUGCGGAUCCAGCCAACUCUUCUGGACAUCAUAAGAUUCGAAUGGAAUUGGACUCAUCACCAUGCUAACCAAAGAAAAAUACAAAUAAUCUGGACAGACAUCAAAGAGACGAUGAUCGUUGUCAACACUGCCCUUCUC